ensembl:lncRNA
UACUACUCAGCAGUCACAACGAAUGCACUUUUGAUAAACACCACAACGUGGAUGACUCUGAAGCUAUGCUCGGUGAAAGACCGUAGACACAAAAGAGUACACGCUCUGGGAUGCCAUUUAUGUAAAACUCUAGCAAAUGUAAACUCAUCUAUGCUGAGGGAAUACAGUUCAGUGGUUACCUGGGGAUGACAGGGAGGGGGAAGGAGGGAUUCCCCAGGGCAUAAUGAAAUUUUGGAGGACUGUGAACAGAUAUGUUCACUAUUGAAAGCUGAGGUGGUGGUUUACCAGAUGUAUAUGGAUGUUGAAACUUAUCGAAUCGCGCAAAUAUGGGUAGUUUGUUGUAAGUCAAUUACACCUCAAUAAAGCUGUUCAAAAUAAAAAUGAAAACAAAAAGCGCAACGCCUAGGGAUAAACUACAAAGGAUUUUAGACGCUAAGAUGUCUUCUUCCCGUGGCGCAAUUGGCAAAUUUCUCACCUGGAGAGGCAUAAUUUUUUAUCACAGUUGUAUUAAGAUAUUUUCCAUGUGCCGUACACUUCAACCAUUUAAUGUGCAAUUAACCAUUUAACAUGCAUAAUUCAACUUUGAGUGUAUUCACUGAAUUGUAUUUUAGUAAUGUGCAUGAAAUAAAACAAAUAAUUAUAAUCAGAAAGAAAAUACAGUGUAAUUUUCUUUUAUAGAGCGUUUUAUGUAUCCUAGUAAAAAAUAAGGACAUUUUAAGAACAAUUAAAACAGGUGCAAAAUGUAAAGUUCAGGCAAUUGCAAUUAUACAACUGAUGUAAGAUUUUAUUAGUUUGAUUUUUGUGAAGUAUUAAAAUAAGGAACAAUUAAAUGAUACAUUUCAUGUUUAAAGAUACUGUUCAAAAUUCAGUGAAAUAUUUAUUUUCAAAUGUAGUCAACGUUUCACUACACCCCCCACAAUUUUUUUUUUUUGGUCUUUUUAGGGCCCCACCUGAGGCAUAUGGAAGUUCCCAGGCUAGGGGUCGCAUCGGAGCUGCAGGUUCUGGACUACACCACAGCCACGGCAAUGCCAUAUCUGAGCCACGUCUACAGCCUACACCACAGCUCACGGCAACGCUGGGUCCUUAAUGCAACGAGCAAGGCCAGGGGUUGAACCCAUGUCCUCAUGGGUACUAGUUGGGUUCUUAACCUGCUGAGCUACAACAGGAACUCUCCCCACAAAUUUUACUCUUCAAAUUGCAUACUUUGUUUCACUGAUUGAGGCAUCAAUCAAAACAAGUGAUUACAUAGAAUCAGAGCUGAAGUAACUCAAGUUGUUCUUUGUCUUUAUAAUCACUGUGCUAUAAUUUUAAUUAAAAUCUAGUUUUUAAACAUGGAAUAUGUAUGUUAUGUAUUACCACAAAGAUUGCAGUCUGCAAGUGUGCUCAAAGCAAACUCAAACAAUUCUAAAUUGUUCAGAACUUACUUUAGAAAAGAACAGCCUGAGUCUGGGGCCAACUAUUAAAUAAGAAUCUAUCCAAAUUAACGUUAUUGUAGAAUAAAAUGAUUAAAACACAAAAACUAAAAGUUGGGUAAUAUGAACCUUACAUAUGUAUUAAAACUUAGUAUGAACCACAGCAAACUUUUAGAACUGAGACAAAAAGAGGAUUUUGAGGGGACAAUGUAGAAAAGCAUUGGAGAAUGACAUCCUUCUCUCAGAAAGUCCAGCAUGGCCAGCCUUUUUUCCAGUGUGGAUGCAGAUCGCUGGGUUGUUCUUUUUGUUUGACCCUAGUUUAAGUAGUUGGGUUGCACUUGUAGUUAGCCAUACGAUAUGAAAAACAGAUAUCUUUAAACAAAAGAAUGAUAGUCAGCAAAGUGAUGCAUUCACCCUAGGAGACAGAAGAACAGAUUCAUGCCUAUUAUCUCACACUAGAUUCAGGGUAUAUAUUCAUUGAGUGUAAUAGUAGAAGGAUUUGCCCAUACUAUUUCUCUCCUAGCAUGUGUUGCUGAAUUCAUGUAAAUGAAAUAUGCCUAUGAAUGCCAAAGUUGUAGACACUCAAAAAGUUUCUUUGCAUGAGUGACUUUAAUUAAUGCUCUUCUCUCUACUUGAACGUCUUCCUUUUGUCUCUGCCUAUCAAAACCUUAUACAUCUUUCAGAGCCAAGUCGAUGACCCGCUUAGCCUCUCAACAGGCUAAUUAUUUAUUAUGUGUCUACUCUUCAGCAGACGAUGCAAAACACCUUAUAUGCUUUGCCCUCCUCUAAUGAUCACAGUAAUCCUAUGAGAGAGGGGUAAUAAAUAUUUUUCCUGUCUUAAGGAUGAGAACACUGAGAUUUAGAGAAGUUAACUAUCUUGCCUAAGGUAGGUGUCAUCUGCCUUAUUCACUGCUGUCUCUCCAAGGUCAAGAACAGUGUCUGGCAUAUAAUACAUGCUCAACAAAUAUCUAUUGACUGCAUAGAAUGACUUUCAGAAUCUAAACCUAUGUGCUUAACCCUUUACCAAGGGCUUCUUGACCUAUUUCAAUGCAUGGCCCCAAUCGUACUUUCUUAUUCUAUUAUCUGCAUAUUGCCCCAAUCAGUAAUAUACUGUGGAUCUUCAUUUGCUUUAAAUUUGUAUUACAAAAACUAUAGGUAUCUUAAAUGUUUUUCAAAAUGCACUUGCUCCUGGAGAGAGUGAUACACUUUCCAACUCCCCCUUCCAUCCAAAUCACAUUUAAGGAGAUACUGCUUUGUGUUGCACGGACUUGAAUACACAUCUCCCCAAUUCUCUUAGAUAGAUGCUGACUGUCUAGUAUCAUUCCAAAGCACUCAUGACUGAACUCUAGUCUUUGUUUGUCUAGGGCCGCACCCACAGCAUAUGGAGGUUCCCCAGCUAGGGGUCAAAUCAGAGCUACAGCUGCCGGCCUAUGCCACAGCCACAGCAACGCAGGAUCCGGGCAGCGUUUGCAACCUACAGCACUGUUCACAGCAAUGCUGGAUCCUUAACCCACUGAGCGAGACCAGGGCUCGAACCUGCAUCCUCAUGGAUACUAGUUGGGUUCUUAACCCACUGAGCCACAGUGGGAACAACUGAACUCUAGUCUUGAUAAGCUAAAUGUGUAGAGAUAAUUGCUCUUCCCUCAACAUGUUCAGUACCCUGACAGUCUGGGCCAAAGUGAAUUGGCCCUCACCUAAGUGUCCUGCUGCCCGUUCUGACAGGAUGAUCAUGCCUAAGUCUGCCUGGUCAGGUAACUGGCAAUUCUGAAGAAUCGAAGAUUUACAAAAUGUGGAAUUCCUGUCGUGGCGCGGCGGAAACGAAUCCGACUAGGAACCAUGAGGUUGUGGGUUGGACCCAUGGCCUCGCUUAGUGGGUUAAGGAUCUGGCGUUGCUGUGAGCUGUGGUGUAGGUCGCAGGUCUGAGCCACAGCUCACGGCAACACGAGAUCCUUAACCCACUGAGUGAGGCCAGGGAUUGAACCCGAAGCCUCAUGGUUCCUGCUCCUAUGGUUUCGUGGAAGCUUGGAUCAUUCUGAAAUUCUGGAGUAGGAACAAGUUUAGCUUUUACUAAUCAGAACAGCAGAUACAAUGAUAAUCAUCAACCACAAACUCUCAUCUUUUUAAAAACAGGAGUUCUUGUUUUAUCUCAGUGGGUUAAGACCCCAGCAUAUGUCUGUGAGGAUGUGGGUUCGAUCCCUGGCCUUGCUUAGUGAGGUAGGGGUCUGGGGUUGUUUCGAGCUGCAGCGUAGGUUAUAGAUGUGGCUCAGAUCCAGUAUUGCUGUGGUUGUGGCAUAGGUCGAGAGCCACAGCUCUGACUUGACCCCUAGCCUGGGAACUUCCAUAUGCUGCAGAUGUGGCCCUAAAAAGAAAAAGAAAAGAAAGCAAGCUUAUGGUGAGAUUUGCAAACACAGAAAUCAUGGGUAGAUAGGACCAUGUAGUAAAAGGAUCCAAGUUUUCAUUCAGGGAAUUAUACACAGCAAAAUAUUCAUCUGAAUUGGGUAGAAAUGACUAAACUAGGCUUCUAAAAGAAUUUUUCAUAGGCCCUACCAGUAUCAUUCCUACGCAAUCAUUUCGAUCACUAUAGCGAAAGAUCAGGAAGCAUGAGUGCACAGACAGAUUUGGGGAUUGUCUAAUAAGGACUUACUGCAUGCCAUGUUCUUUAAAUGUACUGUUGCAUUUGAUUCUCGUAUCUCUGGGAGGUAAGGUACUGUUUUUAUCCUCAUCUUACAGAUGAGGAAGCUGAAGCGCACAGAUUGUGAAUCGUUUGUGAUUAUAGCCUGAAAGGGCAGAGCCGGGAUUUGAAUUCCGAUCCUGUGCUCACUUUACUACACUACGCUGCCUCUCAGUGGGCUCCAUUAACCUCUGAUCAUAAUAGCCAACAAUUAUUGGGAACUGUGAGAACAAAAGAAUGGAAAACCAGAUGGAAUCUGUGUGCUUUAUAAAAAUAGUUACCAUUUGCUGAGUGCUAGGCACAGUGAUAGGGGCUUUACAUCUUAGCUCAUUUAAUUAUCAAACCACUUGUAGUUCUCCUGUGGUGCAGUGAGUUCAGGAUCUGACAUUGUCACUGUAGCAGCUUAGGUCACUGCUGUGGUGCAGGUUUGAGCCUUGGCCUGGGAAUUUCCAUAUGCCUCAGGUGCAGCCAAAAAAAAAAAAAAAAAAUCACCAAACCACUCUAUGAGGUAGGCAUUAUUUUACAGAUGAGAGCAUUAAAGCUUGGGGCGGGGGUUGGGAGAUGAAAUAACUUGCCCAUAUUUACUCAGCUAGAAAGUUUCAGAGCCAGAUUUCGAAGCUAUCUGUCAGAUGCUGGGGCUAGGGCGCAUAUACCACUAGUUCAAACGUCAGUGUGCGUAAGAAUCUGCUGAUGAUGCUGUUAAAAAUGUGGAUUCUGGAGUUCCGGUCGUGGCGCAGUGGUUAACGAAUCCGACUAGGAACCAUGAGGUUGCGGGUUCGGUCCCUGCCCUUGCACAGUGGGUUAAGGAUCCGGCGUUGCCGUGAGCUGUGGUGUAGGUUGCAGACGCAGCUCGGAUCCCGCGUUGCUGUGGCUCUGGCGUAGGCCGGUGGCUACAGCUCCGAUUCAACCCCUGGCCUGGGAACCUCCAUAUGCCGCGGGAGCGGCCCAAGAAAUAGCAACAACAACAACAACAACAAAAAAAGACAAAAAAAAAAAA